rnacentral:rRNA from 1 species
GACGAACGCUGGCGGCGUGCUUAACACAUGCAAGUCGAGCGGUAAGGCCCUUUCGGGGUACGACGAGCGGCGAACGGGUGAGUAACACGUGGGUGACCUGCCCUCAGCUCUGGGAGUAAGACCCGGGAAACCGUAGGGUCUAAUACCGGAUAUGACUCCAUGACGCAUGUUGUGGGGUGGAAAGCCUUGUGCGGCUGAGGAUGGGCCCGCGGCCUAUCAGCUUGUUGGUGGGGUGAUGGCCUACCAAGGCGACGACGGGUAGCCGGCCUGAGAGGGCGACCGGCCACACUGGGACUGAGACACGGCCCAGACUCCUACGGGAGGCAGCAGUGGGGAAUCUUGCGCAAUGGGCGAAAGCCUGACGCAGCGACGCCGCGUGAGGGAUGACGGCCUGUGUAAC